GCCUGGGUGGCUCAGUUGGUUAAGCGUCCGACUCCUGGUUUCAGCUCAGGUGGUGCUCUCAAGUCGUGGGAUCGAGUCCCACAUCAGGCU
rnacentral:tRNA from 1 species